rnacentral:misc_RNA from 1 species
GAUGAAGAACGUAGCGAAAUGCGAUAAGUAGUGUGAAUUGCAGAAUUCAGUGAAUCAUCGAAUCUUUGAACGCACAUUGCGCCUUCUAGUAUUCUGGGAGGCAUGCCUGUUUGAGCGUCAUUAAACCUCUCUCAAGUAUGAUUACUUGGAUGUGAAGGAAGAGUACCUUAAACUUAAGGAGUGUUCUCCUUUGAAAUUGAUUAGCAGAUGGUAAUGUUAUUAAAUCCCUGAUGUUGUAAGAAAUAACAGUGGUUUUGUAGACUAUUAUCUAGCUUUAAUUUAUAAUUUUUAUUAUGGUUGACCUCAAAUCAGGUAAGGAUACCCGCUGAACUUAAGCAUAUCAAUAAGCGGAGGA